rnacentral:ncRNA from 1 species
ACGCACCUCUGGAGAGCGCGUAUAAUUACGAGUACGCCACCAAAGGGGAAGACUUCACAUGAAUAGUGAGGUUAAACUCUCAGGUUAAAGGACAGAGAAGGG